rnacentral:rRNA from 1 species
UACGGAGGGGGCGAGCGUUAAUCGGAAUUACUGGGCGUAAAGCGUGCGUAGGCGGUUAUUUAAGUCGGGUGUGAAAGCCCCGGGCUCAACCUGGGAAUUGCAUUCGAGACUGAAUAGCUAGGGUACGGUAGAGGGAAGUGGAAUUUCCGGUGUAGCGGUGAAAUGCGUAGAUAUCGGAAGGAACAUCAGUGGCGAAAGCGACUUCCUGGACCAGUACCGACGUUCAGGCACGAAAGCGUGGGGAGCAAACAGG